rnacentral:rRNA from 1 species
CAUGCAAGUCGAACGGUAACGCGGGUUUCGGCCUGGCGACGAGUGGCGAACGGGUGAGUAAUAUAUCGGAACGUGCCCAAGAGUGGGGGAUAGCCCGGCGAAAGCCGGAUUAAUACCGCAUACGAUCUCAGGAUGAAAGUGGGGGACCGCAAGGCCUCACGCUCCUGGAGCGGCCGAUAUCUGAUUAGCUAGUUGGUGGGGUAAAGGCCUACCAAGGCGACGAUCAGUAGCUGGUCUGAGAGGACGACCAGCCACACUGGGACUGAGACACGGCCCAGACUCCUACGGGAGGCAGCAGUGGGGAAUUUUGGACAAUGGGGGCAACCCUGAUCCAGCAAUGCCGCGUGUGUGAAGAAGGCCUUCGGGUUGUAAAGCACUUUUGUCCGGAAAGAAAUCCCCUGGGUGAAUAUCCCGGGGGGAUGACGGUACCGGAAGAAUAAGCACCGGCUAACUACGUGCCAGCAGCCGCGGUAAUACGAAGGGGGCUAGCGUUGCUCGGAAUUACUGGGCGUAAAGGGAGCGUAGGCGGACAUUUAAGUCAGAGGUGAAAUCCCGGAGCUUAACUUCGGAACUGCCUUUGAUACUGGGUGUCUUGAGUGUGAGAGAGGUAUGUGGAACUCCGAGUGUAGAGGUGAAAUUCGUAGAUAUUCGGAAGAACACCAGUGGCGAAGGCGACAUACUGGCUCAUUACUGACGCUGA